rnacentral:lncRNA from 1 species
CCCUGACAUUGUCUACUCUGAAGAUCUGCUGAAUGUCAAAACUCAAAAAGGCCAAGAUUAAAUCUUUUAUCUUUUGAAGAUAUUUCUUCAUGUUCUCCUUUCAAGCCUCGUACUUGCCCCUGAUUUGUCCAAUCACUAGUUGGGAGUCACUGAAGACUCUAAGGUGUAGGGCCCCUGCUUAUCUCACCACUUUGAGGCCGGCAAUUAAAGUCUCAUACUCUUCUUCGUUAUUGGUUGUCGGAAACUCAAAGCAUAGGGCAUACCCCACAGCAUUUCCU